CCUACGGGAGGCAGCAGGGAGGAAUAUUGGUCAAUGGGCGCGAGCCUGAACCAGCCAAGUAGCGUGAAGGAUGACUGCCCUACGGGUUGUAAACUUCUUUUAUAAAGGAAUAAAGUGAGGCACGUGUGCCCUUUUGUAUGUACCUUAUGAAUAAGGAUCGGCUAACUCCGUGCCAGCAGCCGCGGUAAUCCGGAGGAUCCGAGCGUUAUCCGGAUUUAUUGGGUUUAAAGGGUGCGUAGUUGGGUUGUUAAGUCAGUUGUGAAAGUUUGCGGCUCAACCGUAAAAUUGCAGUUGAUACUGGCAGCCUUGAGUACAGUUGAGGUAGGCGGAAUUCGUGGUGUAGCGGUGAAAUGCUUAGAUAUCACGAAGAACUCCGAUUGCGAAGGCAGCCUACUAAACUGCAACUGACGUUGAUGCUCGAAAGUGUGGGUAUCAAACAGGAUUAGAUACCCUAGUAGUC
rnacentral:rRNA from 1 species